UUUCAGAUGACAUGAUGCGGGGAAGGCUCUAAGCACCAAAAGGCAGCAAGGUUUUGGAGAAGCCUUUUUCCAGCUGGAAAUGGCCAGGGCACGUCAGGCGUGGUGGUUUGGAGACCCUGAGGUACAAAUUUCAAAACUUCCCUUAGAACACAUCAUCUCUGGAGGUAACUUCUUCAUAUCUCAAUUUGAGGAACUCUGGCCUGGAGAAUGAAGCCACCACGCCUCGGGGACCUUCAAGGAUGAGGCUCCCACCCAGCAGACAGCCCUAACUUAGCAGGGUGCUUCUGAUCCCAGCGUGCCAGCUGCACCACACUGCCAGAAGUUUCUAGAAGCUUAGAGUCUGUGUGCUGCCUCCCCAGCUUAGUUCUGCCUGGGAAGUACCCCCCACCCCUGCAACUACAUCUCCUUCUAGAAGAUUCUUCCCUGUUCUUUCAAGAUUCAGUUCACAGCCACUCAGAGGGGAAACCUUUCCAGCUCCCUUCUCACCCACAGAAAUGACCCGUCCCUUCCCUGGUCCCCACGGGGCCCUGUGCACGUUGCCUGUAAACUCACUGCCUGUUUACUAAACACUCUGGAUUUCCCCAUUUUCUCCUCCCAACCAACCUAGGAGGGAGGUACCAUACCAGUUCCAUUUCACAGUGAGAAAACUGGGUUUAGGGAAGUAGGGAAGGCUAGUAGCCGCCAGUCCGGGACGGGACCCAGCAGUCUGACCGCACUGUUUGUGUUUUCUGUUCAUAUCUGUUGGCGCAAACGCGUACUCUGAAGACAGCAGGGUCAGAUUCAUUGUAUUGACUGAUUGGGGAUGGGAUUGCUUCUAUUUUUAACAGCUUUAUUGGGGGUAAAAUUGAUGAACAAGAAACACAUUUCAACAGCACAAUUUGACAAGUUUUCACAUACAUACCCAUAACAUCAUCACCCCAGUCAAGAUAAUGAACAUGUCCCUCACCCCAAAGCUUCCUGGACCCAUUUCUGGUCCCUCCCUCCUGCCCACGCCCGGUCCCAGUCAACCACUGGUGUGCUUAGUCAUUAGGCAUUAGUUUACAUUUUCUGGAGGUUUUUACAUAAAUGGAAUGAUAUAGGGUGUAUAUAUAUAUAUAUUUUUUUCUUUUGUGGUGAGGGAUGGGGGUCCUGGUUUCUUUCACUCAGUGUAAUUAUACUGAGAUCCAUCCAUGUUGUUGCCUGUAUCAAUGACUCAUAUCUUUCUGUCGCUGAGUAGCAUUCCAUAGCAUGCAGAGACCACUGGUUGGUAUCACAAAUAAAACUGCUUUUGAACA